GCUUAACUUGACUCAACUCGGGAGGGCUCGCCAGGUCCAGACAUAGUGAGGAUUGACAGAUUGAGAGCUCUUUCUUGAUUCUAUGGGUGGUGGUGCAUGACCGUUCUUGGUUGGUGGAGUGAUUUGUCUGGUUAAUUCCGUUAACGAGACCUUAACCUAUAAAAACGUGACAAAUAUAUUUGUUUAUGACUUUUUGGCGAGGACUCCAUUUCCUUUCCUAAGGGGACUCAGCUCUAGACGUUUUUUUUUUUUUUUUUUUUUUUUUUUUUUUUUUCAUCCUAUGGAUCGCGAGACACCAAGGUUCGACAUAGGAGAGUAUGAUGGCUUUAUUUGAUCAUUUGAUGGCUUGGUCAGUA
rnacentral:ncRNA from 1 species